GAUGAACGCUGGCGGCGUGCCUAAUACAUGCAAGUCGAGCGAACAGACGAGGAGCUUGCUCCUCUGACGUUAGCGGCGGACGGGUGAGUAACACGUGGAUAACCUACCUAUAAGACUGGGAUAACUUCGGGAAACCGGAGCUAAUACCGGAUAAUAUAUUGAACCGCAUGGUUCAAUAGUGAAAGACGGUUUUGCUGUCACUUAUAGAUGGAUCCGCGCCGCAUUAGCUAGUUGGUAAGGUAACGGCUUACCAAGGCAACGAUGCGUAGCCGACCUGAGAGGGGGGUAGGCCACACUGGAACUGAGACACGGUCCAGACUCCUGAGGGAGGCAGCAGUAGGGAAUCUUCCGCAGUGGGCGAAAGCCUGACGGAGCAGCGCCGCGUGAGUGAUGAAGGUCUUCGGAUCGUAAAACUCUGUUAUUAGGGAAGAACAAAUGUGUAAGUAACUAUGCACGUCUUGACGGUACCUAAUCAGAAAGCCACGGCUAACUACGUG
rnacentral:rRNA from 1 species